CCUGGUGGCUCAGACGGUAAAGCGUCUGCCUGCAGUGCAGGAGACCCAGGUUCGAUCCCUGGGUCAGGA
rnacentral:tRNA from 1 species